GAUAAACGCUGGCGGCGUGCAUGAGACAUGCAAGUCAUACGGACGAGCUUGCUCGUUAGUGGCGAACGGCUGAGUAACGCGUAGGUGACCUGCCCCGAAGUGGGGGAUAACUGCCCGAAAGGGUGGCUAAUACCGCAUGUGGCGACGUGUUCAUUCACGUCAUCAAAGCCGCGAGGCGCUUCGGGAGGGGCCUGCGUCCGAUUAGCUCGUUGGUGGGGUAACGGCUCACCAAGGCGACGAUCGGUAGGUGGUCUGAGAGGACGAUCACCCAGACUGGGACUGAGACACGGCCCAGACUCCUACGGGAGGCAGCAGUCGGGAAUUUUGCUCAAUGGGGGAAACCCUGAAGCAGCAACGCCGCGUGCGGGAUGAAGGCCUUCGGGUUGUAAACCGCUUUUACCAGGGACGAUAAUGACGGUACCUGAUGAAUAAGUCACGGCUAACUACGUGCCAGCAGCCGCCGCAGUAA
rnacentral:rRNA from 1 species